AACGAACGCUGGCGGCAUGCCUAACACAUGCAAGUCGAACGAGACCUUCGGGUCUAGUGGCGCACGGGUGCGUAACGCGUGGGAACCUGCCCUUAGGUUAGGAAUAACUCCCCGAAAGGGGUGCUAAUACCGGAUAAUGUCUUCGGACCAAAGAUUUAUCGCCUUUGGAUGGGCCCGCGUUGGAUUAGCUAGUUGGUAGGGUAAAAGCCUACCAAGGCGACGAUCCAUAGCUGGUCUGAGAGGAUGAUCAGCCACACUGGGACUGAGACACGGCCCAGACUCCUACGGGAGGCAGCAGUGGGGAAUAUUGGACAAUGGGCGAAAGCGUGAUCCAGCAAUGCCGCGUGAGUGAUGAAGGCCUUAGGGUUGUAAAGCUCUUUUACCCGGGAUGAUAAUGACAGUACCGGGAGAAUAAGCUCCGGCUAACGCCGUG
rnacentral:rRNA from 1 species